CCCUUGUCAAGAUUACUAGUUGAUCCAGCACGUAGAAUUGGGUCACACAGAUGACUAAUAGGUAACGUAUUACUGGGCCUUAGAAUGGCCGGACUUAACGUACCAAAUAAUAGUCAGGAUACUUGCAGAGGUCAAGGGAUACAGAAAGAGACACAACGAUAAGAGAAAGCCAGAAGUCAGUGAUACCAGAAUACAGGGAAGUCAAAAUCAAAGCCAAAGUCAAAAACCAGAAGUAACUAGAAUCAGGAACGCGCUCUCGGACAACCACAAGGGAAACCAUGACAGGGCACUGAACAGGAUGAGAACUGGGCCUAAAUCUAGAUCUGAUAGGCUGUAACCGGCCUUUGACCCCAAAGGCAGCUACCAG